rnacentral:rRNA from 1 species
UACGUAGGGGGCUAGCGUUGUCCGGAUUAUUGGGCGUAAAGAGCGUGUAGGCGGCCAGGUAGGUCUGGUGUGAAAACUCGAGGCUUAACCUCGAGAUGUCAUCGGAAACCAUCUGGCUAGAGUCCGGAAGAGGAGAGUGGAAUUCCUGGUGUAGCGGUGAAAUGCGCAGAUAUCAGGAGGAACACCAAUGGCGAAGCAGC